CAAACGCACCUCGAGGGUAAGAGGUUAGCACGUCGGAGUUUAAAUGUCCGAGUUGGACCAACUGUGAAGGAUUUACUCUCCACUGUGAGGCCGAGGAGGAGCACUUCUGUACUCCAACAAAAGGCGACCUGCCGUACCCAUCAUCUGGACCCUCCAGGAUACUGCUAGUCCGAUUGUCCAGGAUGAUCCCACUUCCUGUCUCGCUGCCAUAUAUGGAGUUGCAGCGUGGCGUGCCCACCCUGCUGGAGAGCCCUGAGGUGAGCCAGGUUUUAACUGGAUAUACCUCUGCUCCUCUACAUCUGGAUCAUCCAUCUGAAGUUCCUUCCUCAUGGUGCCCUCUAUUUCUGCUGCCAGAGAGUCCUGGAGAAGAAG